rnacentral:tRNA from 1 species
GCCGGGGUGGUGAAAUUGGUAGACGCGCUGGACUCAAAAUCCAGUAGAGGCAACUCUGUGAGGGUUCGAUUCCCUCCCCCGGCACUA